AUGUGGGUGGUGGCUCGAGCCAGAGUUCCCAUCAGCGGUGGAAGUCACCCUGGUGUACCCUGGUGUCCCAGUCCUCACCGUUAUUAACUCCACUGGUUGUAGCCGUCACAUCUUUGGCAUUGGAACUGAAGCACCGAAGAUAAUUUCUACUUUCUCCACCGUCUAACUUUCAGUUUUAAGGGGAACUUGUCAUAUGUAAAAAAAAACAAAAAAUUGUAAAUGUUUCUUUGUGGGCAUCUUUUUACAUUUGUUUCUUUCUUCCUGGAAUCAUAUUUAGUGGCCUUAUGAUAAGCAAGAAGAGGUGAUGUUUCCAAAGAUUAUAAUUAUAGAAAAAACGGAGUGUUGGCACAGGCCUGUAAUCUGAGCAGUUGGAAGGUUUGAAGUUCAAGGUCUUCUUCAGCUUCGCAGUGAGUCAGGUCAGGGGCUAGGCUGCCAUACUUGAGACCCUGUCCCACAUUUAGAAAAGGAAAACUCAAAGAAAUAGAAAUAUCCAAAUCUCCCAUUUUUCCCAAGGGGCAGAUGGUAGAUUUCCUUAGCAGAACAUACACCUUCCCAGAGAGAACAAGAUUCAAUGAACGUGUAAAUAGUAUCUUGUUUUCUUUCUUUCUUUACUAAAAUGAUACACCCAGCACAUUUUCAGUUUGGUAACUUUCAUUUUGGUUUUUAGUUAAUGUUGUUUUAUUAGCUUCUAUCCCUUGCACCGCAUUGAGAUCCAUCACACUGUUAUCCAAAUUUCUGCUGUACUGGGAACAUCCUGAUCACUACCCCUAACGCCCCUGACCAUCUUCACUUGGCUAAUUUCUAAAUUGGUAACUAAUUACAUGCAGAUAAUUAAAGAAUAAGCAAGAGUUCCCACCGUUAGGUAAAGUUGGGGGCAUGAUGUUAAGAAAGAGAAAGCCAAUUUCAAAUCUCGAUUGUUUGGAACAAAAUUUCAAAGUUAAAAGUAUCACGAGGCAAAAAUUCCAAGUAUUAGAAUUAUACUCAGUAGUUUCAUUUCCCUUGUGAAAUUUUAUUUUAAGAGAAUAAAAUGUGGCCCAUAAAGGUAUCUGAUCUCUCAGUGUGCCUUAUGCUUCAUAUAAAUCAAAUCCAGAAAAUAAGUGGGGCAUAUGUAAAAUGAAACCUUAAACAUACCUGGGACCAUCUUUUGCGAGGCACCGAUUGCUGCGUUAUCAAUUUUUUCUUGGAGCGUUUAUUAAAGAAUAUCUUUUGUUUUAAUUUGCCCCACACAAAGCAGCUUAGAGACAUUUACAGAGACGAAGAGGGAGCUUCAAUUAACCUUGGCUGCCGAGAUAUUUUAUGUGCAUGUAUUAUGCUACAACAGGGUAAUUACCUAAUACCUUUUGUGAAGGAAUUCUAAUAAAGAAUGAAAUUGAUUUAUACAUAAUG
rnacentral:lncRNA from 1 species